GCCACCGCAUCAUAUGUGUCGGUCACGUGUUUGGAAAUCAUUUUGUUCAGGUUUAUUUGAAAGACCAUUGUCCGUUGCCGGCCCCAGCGCUGUUGUGGUCAACCAAUUGUUAUUCUCAGGCAAAGCAAUGGGCAAUUCCAUAUAUUAGUAGAAUGCAGGAAUACACAAGCUUGAUGUCAUUCAAAACACACUAUGUAGACCUAAAUGAAGACUAAACAUUCAUUGUUUAUUUAUUUGUAUUCAUUAUGCGAUAUAAUUCGUUGUAACCCGUCACUAACGAAUUAAUAUUAUCAACUACUCGUUUGGUUAAGCAAGGAAA